CACAGGUGUCACUAUGGAGUUUGUGCACGAGCGUGAGCAACAGGAAGCUGCUGCAGUUCACCUAACGGCCACAGGUGUCACUAUGGAGUGUGUGCACGAGCGUGAGUAACAGGAAGCUGCUGCAGUUCACCUAACGGCCACAGGUGUCACUAUGGAGUGUGUGCACGAGCGUGAGUAAUAGGUAGCUGCUGCAGUUCACUUAACGGCCACAGGUGUCACUAUGGAGUUUGUGCACGAGUGUGAGCAACAGGAAGCUGCUGCAGUUCACCUAACGGCCACAGGUGUCACUAUGGAGUGUGUGCACGAGCGUGAGUAACAGGAAGCUGCUGCAGUUCACCUAACGGCCACAGGUGUCACUAUGGAGUGUGUGCACGAGCGUGAGUAAUAGGUAGCUGCUGCAGUUCACUUAACGGCCACAGGUGUCACUAUGGAGUGUGUGCACGAGCGUGAGUAAUAGGUAGCUGCUGCAGUUCACUUAACGGCCACAGGUGUCACUAUGGAGUUUGUGCACGAGCGUGAGCA